GGAGAUAUAGCUCAGUUGGUAGAGUGCUUGCCUCACGUGCACAAGGCCCUGAGUUCAAUUCUUAGCAUCACAA
rnacentral:tRNA from 1 species